rnacentral:rRNA from 1 species
CGGGGAACCUGCCUGUGAGACUGGGAUAACUCCGGGAAACCGGAGCUAAUACCGGAUAGUUCCUUGAACCGCAUGGUUCAAGGAUGAAAGACGGUUUCGGCUGUCACUUACAGAUGGACCCGCGGCGCAUUAGCUAGUUGGUGAGGUAACGGCUCACCAAGGCGACGAUGCGUAGCCGACCUGAGAGGGUGAUCGGCCACACUGGGACUGAGACACGGCCCAGACUCCUACGGGAGGCAGCAGUAGGGAAUCUUCCGCAAUGGACGAAAGUCUGACGGAGCAACGCCGCGUGAGUGAUGAAGGUUUUCGGAUCGUAAAGCUCUGUUGUUAGGGAAGAACAAGUGCAAGAGUAACUGCUUGCACCUUGACGGUACCUAACCAGAAAGCCACGGCUAACUACGUGCCAGCAGCCGCGGUAAUACGUAGGUGGCAAGCGUUGUCCGGAAUUAUUGGGCGUAAAGGGCUCGCAGGCGGUUUCUUAAGUCUGAUGUGAAAGCCCCCGGCUCAACCGGGGAGGGUCAUUGGAAACUGGGAAACUUGAGUGCAGAAGAAGGAGAGUGGAAUUCCACGUGUAGCCGGUGAAAUGCGUAGAGAUGUGGAGGAACACCAGUGGCGAAGGCGACUCUCUGGUCUGUAACUGACGCUGAGGAGCGAAAGCGUGGGGAGCGAACAGGAUUAGAUACCCUGGUAGUCCACGCCGUAAACGAUGAGUGCUAAGUGUUAGGGGGUUUCCGCCCCUUAGUGCUGCAGCUAACGCAUUAAGCACUCCGCCUGGGGAGUACGGUCGCAAGACUGAAACUCAAAGGAAUUGACGGGGGCCCGCACAAGCGGUGGAGCAUGUGGUUUAAUUCGAAGCAACGCGAAGAACCUUACCAGGUCUUGACAUCCUCUGACAACCCUAGAGAUAGGGCUUUCCCUUCGGGGACAGAGUGACAGGUGGUGCAUGGUUGUCGUCAGCUCGUGUCGUGAGAUGUUGGGUUAAGUCCCGCAACGAGCGCAACCCUUGAUCUUAGUUGCCAGCAUUUAGUUGGGCACUCUAAGGUGACUGCCGGUGACAAACCGGAGGAAGGUGGGGAUGACGUCAAAUCAUCAUGCCCCUUAUGACCUGGGCUACACACGUGCUACAAUGGACAGAACAAAGGGCUGCGAGACCGCAAGGUUUAGCCAAUCCCAAAAUCUGUUCUCAUUCGGAUCCAAUCUGCAAUCCACUGCUUGAACUGGGAUCCCUAGUAU